CUUCUCUCUUUCUCUCUUUUAUCUCAGUCUCAAUGGAGUUUGUUGACACCAUUCAAUAAAAACCUACCUUCUUCAUCAUUGUUCUGCAUAUUUUCGAUUGAUAACACAUAUAUAACUCUAACCAUAUAUUUACUUCAAUCAUAUUUAAGGUUCCUGCUGCAGAAAUUGAAAGUUAGGGUUUGAGGUUAUGUUAACGUUCUGAGAUGAAUCGGGGUUUUGCUGCAAGAAUUGAGAUUGAAUAGGUUUGUUGAGAAUGAUAUUGGUAAUUGGAUUUGUGGAGUUUGAAAGUUAGGGUUGGAUUUGAGAUUGAAAGUUAUGAUUUGAGAUUUGAAAGUUAGGGUUUGUUUUAUCUCGAAUUUGAUUUCUAAUGUGAUAGUGAUUUUGCAAAAUGAGGAUGAGGUAAGGAAGAAUAGGAACCCGUUGUUCCCAAUAAAAGAGGUCGAAAGGAACUCAUAUAACACUGUGGUCGUUGCCUGAGAUUAAAGGCUGCAUGGAGGAUGCUGGAUCCAUAUUGGUCAAUGUUUGGAUCAGGCAGAUGCAAGAUACCAAGGAGAUGACAAGUUCUUGAGGUUUGUUGUUGCCUUGUUGGUUGUGAUGUCAAGUAUGAAGAAAUCUAGAAUCUCUGACAACAAUGCCUAGGGUAAGCAAAAAUACAAUGCAGUAGCCUUAAUAUCAAGCUCCCAAUUUAUGUGUAUCCUUCCUCAUAAGUUCACUCUGGUAUUGUGAUGGAAUCUAUCUGUUUUUUGUUUAUUUUUUUGUUUAGGGUGAGAAAUUGAUGGAUACAAUGUAUAUUUCCUUGCCAAAUUCUGUUUGCUAUUGCAGAUUGUAGCAACGUCUUUAUCUUCAGUGUGUCGUACUUCUCUAUGCUCUUUCUCUAGUUACUUGGCAUCAUUUUAUCCAUCACACGUUCGUUACUUCUAGAUCCGUUGUACAUGAUACAAUUUUGUGAUCUUCUGUUUUGUGUAACACUCAGCAUGUCGGAUAUUCUGUUUCAUAUUCUAAUUCCUCAACUAAAUUGUAAUUUGCAUCUGAACUGCAUGUUGUCCCCCAUAUGUAUUGCAACUGCCCUGGGUAUUUGGAUAUUAAUAGUAUGAAACCUACUUGUAUUGACGGAGAAAGGCAACUUGUGUUUUAUUGAUCUUUGUUCUGGUCCUUGGGAUCUGAAUAGGUAAUGCUGGAUUUCUUACUAUAGUAUUUCUUAUGUUUGUUAAGAUACAAUUGAAUAUACCUGUUUUUUCAUGUUAAGUUCACUUGGGUUUUUCCUUGGGGUAGGGUGAUAAUGAGUAUCAGGAUUUGGUUCGAAAAUUGAACCAGCCUGGAAGGAUUCCUGAUCAAGUGGCAUCCCUUGUGAUGAGUUUAAAGGGUUUAUCUGGAGAUGUUACAUCUAUUGAUAUCGUUCGACAUGAGACGCUUCUGCAAGAUGUAGGUUCGUGAGUUGAAUAUUUCCUCGCAGUCUCGCUGGUUAGUGCAACUUAUGAUCGUCGUGAUCACAAUUACAUUGUAUCAAUAAGACACUACCGUGCUCCUGAGGUUAUUCUUGGACUUGGAUGGAGUUACCCUUGUGAUAUUUGGAGUCUUGGUUGUAUCUUAAUUGAGCUAUGCUCGAUAGGUUUUCGCUUUGCUGCCACCUACUAUUUCAGUUUACGUAAUUUUUUGUAUGAAAAAGCUGAAACACAUUGUUUUUGAAGGGAGAGACAUUGUUUAAGACGCACGAGAACUUAGAGCACCUGGCCAUUAUGGAGAGGAUAUUGAGGUCAAUACCAAGUCACAUGUUGAAGAGAGUUGGGUACGUGAUUUCAUCGUUUAAGUUUUCUCUUGGUGGUUAUUUUUAAAAUGUUCCAUCUGGUAACUUGUCCAUUUCGUUAUAAAAUAUCAUGCCGAGAAAUAUACAGUUAUACAUAAAUAAGGGAAGAUUGAAUUUCCCAGAGGGUGCAGCAUCCAGGGAAAUCAUUAAAGUUGUUUCGAAGUUGCCACAUUUACCGGGAGUCUUCUCUGCUGGGUUGUUUGUCUGUUGAGAUAUAUGGACAAUUGUCAUUUUUGAACUACUGCUAUCCUUAUUAUCUACAGUUUUUUUUUUUUUUAUGGUCUGACCUCAGUCAUGUCCUAACUUUAUCAUCAUCAUCUUUGUUGGUGCAGGUUCAGGUUGGAAGAUCACUAAUUUAUAAAGUUGAUGAGCUACUUGUUUGAUGGGUUGUAAAUCAAAUGUGGAAUGGUUAACCUUGUUGAUCUUGCUGGGUCCAGGACCUUCAUAAUGCUCAGUUAUUGUUGACGGCAGAAAUGAGUGAAAAACUCGAAAAGACUCAGAAUAAACUCGAGAAUGCUGAACAUUCACUUUUCGAUCUAGAACAGAGAUAUAGGCAAGUAAAUGCGACCAUCAAAGAAAAAGAAUUUUUGAUCUCUAAUCUCCUUCGAGCAGGAUUUGGAGAAGUAACACACUAUGGAAGGUGUACAAGCAGCUGAAAGCUUUGUUUUUUUCUUUCUUUUGAGUUUGUUGUUAAGUUCAUUAAUUAGGUAGUUUUGGUUCUAAAACAGGGGUAACUUGAUUUUGUUGUAUUAAUUUGAUUAUGAAUGAACAGGGUCAACUUCAUUUUGGUACA